CAGUAGCCGCUGGAAUACGUAGGGUGCAAGCGUUAAUCGGAAUUACUGGGCGUAAAGCGUGCGCAGGCGGUUAUAUAAGACAGAUGUGAAAUCCCCGGGCUCAACCUGGGAACUGCAUUUGUGACUGUAUAGCUAGAGUACGGCAGAGGGGGAUGGAAUUCCGCGUGUAGCAGUGAAAUGCGUAGAUAUGCGGAGGAACACCGAUGGCGAAGGCAAUCCCCUGGGCCUGUACUGACGCUCAUGCAAGAAAGCGUGGGGAGCAAACAGGAUUAGAUACCCCCGUAGUCCCUGUCUCUUAUAC
rnacentral:rRNA from 1 species